UUAUUUGUUAAUUAGUUAUGAUUAAUUAUUAAUAUUAUAUGAUUAAUAUAUGAAUUUUUGUGAAUUUUGUGUUAUCUAGUUUAUUGAGCUGAAUGCUCGUAUGUGUUCGUAUUCGCGAGAUUUCAAUUUCUAUAUGCUCAGGAGAAAAUAUAAUUUAUUUGGAUAUUUUCAUAUCGAUUUAUGGAAUGUUAGAUGAUUUUAUAAUCGAGUUACGGAUUUAAUUGUGUAUAUUUAUAUUUAUUUAUUAAUUAUUUGACUUCCGUAAAACCGUCCACUCGUAACGAGGUAGCAAAUUUUCUUCCCGGAAGUUUCAACAAAACUCACCUCUAGCCUAAUUUGAAUAUUCCGGACAUUUUUCGUGUUUUGACUUUUUCGAUCCGGAGUACGGUUUUCCCUGGAGUCGGUCCGGCGGAGUUUUUCGGGUACUAAAAUUGUCGAUAAUUAUCCAGUUUGUCUCGAUAAACGUGAAACGAGAUAUUUUCUUCAUCCUUAUCAUGUAAUAAUUGCAAUGGGACCCGCAGACCAAUAAUUGAGUUAAAAAGCCCCGUUUUGAUGAUUAUCUCGAAAACCAGUACCGAUUGGACCCCGUUUUAUUAUAUAAAGCUAUUAAAUACGUAUUUUCAUGUCAUAAACGAUCCAAAGGGGUACCAAUUAUUUGUAAAUAUAAAUAGACCUUUCUAGAGCUUAUUUUCGCCCGUAAAAUCAUUUCACCAGUUUCUCUGCACGAAUACCGAGAGAAACCGAGCGGUGUUCUUCGUGUUCUUCAUAAUCAAACGAAGAUUUGAAGGUGUUAUUGGAAUCCGAUGGAGGCGUAUGAAUAGUCAAAACGAAGCUAUCGACGCGUAGAAUCAAGUUUAAUCAUCCGUUUAUAUGCAGAUUCAACAGGAUUUGGACGAGACGUGUAUGCCCGAAGACGUUCAGAAAGUCACGUGGUAUUGCAAAGCGAAUAAGGGAUGAAUCGAGUAAGCGAAGCGAAGAUGUACGGUAGAUAGAGUAUAGCCAGAGAUGGUCUAGAGACUAUGAGAUGCAUAGAUUGUGAAAGUGGAAAGAUGAGAUUGAGAUGUGAGACUGGAGUCAGAUUUAAGAAAGGCUUAAAGAUGAGAUGAUUGAUUGAGAUUGUGGAUAAGGCUAAUGCUAGGCGAGGAGACAGAGUUGAGGAUCCAGUGGUCGAGGAGUGUUCAGGAAAGUUGAUGAGGUUGGUGCAAGCUAGAGCUGUGCUAUAGGGAUUCAAGUGUAAGUCAUAGCUGGAAUAGUGGACAGUGAUUCUUCUUAUCGAAGAUGAUCUGAUUUGGUAAGAGAUGUUGUGUAAUAAUAGUGGUAGAUUCUAAUUUCAAUACUGUAACCUGGAUGCGAUCCUGUUGUUUUGGGGGUUAAAAUGUUCUCUUUCGAAUCAUUUAUUAAAGUUUAAAUGUU